UUUCCACCAACUGAUCCACACCACUGUCACCUGGGAAGAUUGGUUGUCCUAGUAACAGUUCAGCCAAUACACAGCCCGCUGACCACACAUCUAGAAGGGGAAAAAAGCAGAAGGCAGGAAAGGUGUAAGUAAAAGUCUCCCUAAAUGUCUUCCCACUCCACCAGCCAAUUUCUGACAAGUCUUAAAGGUUGAAGUAUCAAGGCCAUUUCAGUUUUGGGAAAACAGAGAGGACAGCAAGCAGCAGCACUGCUGCUGCAGAAGAAGUUCAGCCCUGCAGGACUUGCUUGGCCCGGGAGCACACUGCAGCUGCAGACAAGCCAGACGAUGCGCAAGCAGCUGACAGCAGCAUGCAGGAAGAAGGAGCAUCAUUUCACUCUCUUCCAAGUUUGGACCUGGGCAACGUUCCCACUUCAAGGAAAUGAAAAAAUCUUCAAACUAUUCUCAUUUAAAGCCAGAGAUCUGCAGCCAACUUUAGCAGCUUGAAGUAGGGAUGGCAACAAAAUAAUUUUCCUUAGGUGUUUAUAGAACUCUGCUGAGUAACAUAAAUUCAAGAAGAAACUGAGAAAUUUUGACUCUGGCUCUCACCAUCACAGCAGUGUUCACUGUGCUAUACAUCACCUUCCCUAACUCAUUAUUUAGAGGGCAUGAGGAAAUAAAAAUAUUUGCCUGCUCUCAUCA